AGUGAACGCUGGCGGUAGGCCCAACACAUGCAAGUCGAACGGCGGCACAGUAAGAGCUUGCUCUUACGGGUGGCGAGUGGCGGACGGGUGAGGAAUACAUCGGAAUCUACUUUUUCGUGGGGGAUAACGUAGGGAAACUUACGCUAAUACCGCAUACGACCUACGGGUGAAAGCAGGGGAUCUUCGGACCUUGCGCGAUUGAAUGAGCCGAUGUCGGAUUAGCUAGUUGGCGGGGUAAAGGCCCACCAAGGCGACGAUCCGUAGCUGGUCUGAGAGGAUGAUCAGCCACACUGGAACUGAGACACGGUCCAGACUCCUACGGGAGGCAGCAGUGGGGAAUAUUGGACAAAGGGCGCAAGCCUGAUCCAGCCAUACCGCGUGGGUGAAGAAGGCCUUCGGGUUGUAAAGCCCUUUUGUUGGGAAAGAAAAGCAGCAGGUUAAUACCCCGCUGUUCUGACGGUACCCAAAGAAUAAGCACCGGCUAACUUCGUG
rnacentral:rRNA from 1 species